CCUGUUGAAAUCGGUGCACUCUAGAAUGGAAUCCAGCUGUGAUAUCAGCCUUUGUUCCACUAGUGGGGCAACCACUUUGAAAGCACCAUGAGGGUAAACAAGAAACUCCAAUGUGGAUGUGUAAGGAAUAUUGUGAAGAGCCUUCCUGUACAUUGAAGACUAAUGUACGUGCCAUGCAAGAAGACGAAUGUUCACGAUAAGUAAAAAUUCGCGUGGAACAGAGAAAAUCUUGCAAGAAGUUCUUGCGAUCCCACAGACCUUCAGUGGCUCUGUAUUUCACAAAGGUUGCUAGUGUGAUUACUAAAUGAAACUGAGAGCUUGAGUCUGGAUAGGCAUCAGCAGAUCGAAAUACAAACAGAAACAACAAACCAACAGAAAGACUUCAGUCCAUCUGUUUUAUAGAGAUUUUGUUCAUAAUCAAUUUGAUCAUCCAUGGACAAAGUUAGGAAGAGGAAAAUCCUGGUCAGGUCUCAGAGAACUGAGAGUUGUCUUCAGUACAUACAAUCCAACUUUCCCAGCGCAAAUAUACAUUCAUUUACAAAAUCUGCAGAAAUUUUGCUUGCCCUUAUCUUCAGCAAACAGAAACUUAAGGCCUCAAGGACAUUUGAAAAUAUUACA